GACGAACGCUGGCGGCGUGCUUAACACAUGCAAGUCGAACGGAAAGGCCCUGCUUUUGUGGGGUGCUCGAGUGGCGAACGGGUGAGUAACACGUGAGUAACCUGCCCUUGACUUUGGGAUAACUUCAGGAAACUGGGGCUAAUACCGGAUAGGAGCUCCUGCUGCAUGGGGGGGGUUGGAAAGUUUCGGCGGUUGGGGAUGGACUCGCGGCUUAUCAGCUUGUUGGUGGGGUAGUGGCUUACCAAGGCUUUGACGGGUAGCCGGCCUGAGAGGGUGACCGGCCACAUUGGGACUGAGAUACGGCCCAGACUCCUACGGGAGGCAGCAGUGGGGAAUAUUGCCCAAUGGGCGGAAGCCUGAUGCAGCAACGCCGCGUGCGGGAUGACGGCCUUCGGGUUGUAAACCGCUUUCGCCUGUGACGAAGCGUGAGUGACGGUAAUGGGUAAAGAAGCACCGGCUAACUACGUG
rnacentral:rRNA from 1 species